AUUUUCGUUAGUAUCUCACAGGGCCUCGUACAGUAACUUUGCCUAUAAAAUGCCGUUCUUUUGUAAUUAAAUGGCGCAAAAACAAUACCAAAGUGAACAAAAAGUCUGAAGAAAUAUCGUUUCACACGACCUACCGGAUAAGUCUAAAGUCAGUCGUUAACCAAGAUUCAAUCUUUGAUACACCUAGAAAACAUAAACUAAGAGAAAAGUUAAAAAAAAAC
rnacentral:misc_RNA from 1 species